GUUGAAACACUGGUUCUCGUACGAUCACCGAAGUUGAUCAACGUCGAUCCCGGUCAGUACCUAGAUCGGUGAUCGCUUGGGAAUAUAAGGUGCUGUAA